GGCUCGUUAGCUUAGCGGUAAGAGCAACCAUUUCACAAUGGUCGUCGGGGGUUCAAAUCCCUCACGAGCUA
rfam:Papilio machaon contig66665, whole genome shotgun sequence.